rnacentral:rRNA from 1 species
GUGUCAGCAGCCGCGCGGUAAUACGGGAGUGGCAAGCGUUAUCCGGAAUUAUUGGGCGUAAAGCGUCCGCAGGCGGCCCUUCAAGUCUGCUGUUAAAAAGUGGAGCUUAACUCCAUCAUGGCAGUGGAAACUGUUGGGCUUGAGUGUGGUAGGGGCAGAGGGAAUUCCCGGUGUAGCGGUGAAAUGCGUAGAUAUCGGGAAGAACACCAGUGGCGAAGGCGCUCUGCUGGGCCAUCACUGACGCUCAUGGACGAAAGCCAGGGGAGCGAAAGGGAUUAGAUACCCCUGUAGUCCUGGCCGUAAACGAUGAACACUAGGUGUCGGGGGAAUCGACCCCCUCGGUGUCGUAGCCAACGCGUUAAGUGUUCCGCCUGGGGAGUACGCACGCAAGUGUGAAACUCAAAGGAAUUGACGGGGGCCCGCACAAGCGGUGGAGUAUGUGGUUUAAUUCGAUGCAACGCGAAGAACCUUACCAGGGUUUGACAUCCUGCGAAUCUCUUGGAAACAGGAGAGUGCCUUCGGGAACGCAGUGACAGGUGGUGCAUGGCUGUCGUCAGCUCGUGUCGUGAGAUGUUGGGUUAAGUCCCGCAACGAGCGCAACCCACGUCUUUAGUUGCCAGCAUUUAGUUGGGCACUCUAGAGAGACUGCCGGUGAUAAACCGGAGGAAGGUGUGGAUGACGUCAAGUCAUCAUGCCCCUUACAUCCUGGGCUACACACGUACUACAAUGCUACGGACAAAGGGCAGCAAGUUCGCGAGGACAAGCAAAUCCCAUAAACCGUGGCUCAGUUCAGAUCGUAGGCUGCAACUCGCCUACGUGAAGGCGGAAUCGCUAGUAAUCGGCAGGUCAGCAUACUGCGGUGAAUACGUUCCCGGGCCUUGCACACACCGCCCGUCA